rnacentral:lncRNA from 1 species
CUCAGGAAAAACCGAAGCCCUCUUUUUGAUCUGCUGUUCUCCACCUCACUCAGUCUGCUCCAGCAGCACUGACCUUGCUAUUUCUAGAACAUGCUGGAGAUGCUGCCAGCUCAGAGCCCUGUCAUUUGUAUUCCCCAUUGCCUAGAGUGCUCUUUCUUCAUCAUCCAUGUCUCGUCCCCCCACCUUCUUUCGAGUGUUUGCUCAAGUGUCACCAUAGGGAGAGAACCUUUUCUGACCACCUUAAAGUUGCUGAAAACCUCCCCCAGCCUGCCUCUUGCCAGCAUGUUCCAUCUUCUUCCUUUUUUAGCACCUACCACCUUCACAUAUAUUAUUUACUUAUUUUUAUUGUCUGUUUCUCCCUGCCACGAGAGACGGAGAUUUUUACCCCUAGCACCUGGAACUGUUCCUGGUAUCAGAGGCAUUAAAAUGUUUGUUGGAUGGACUAAUGAAUGAGAAGAGAAGGCUGGGCUGAAUGGCUCACGCCUAUAAUCCCAGCACUUUGGGAAGCCAAGGAUCUCACUCUGUCGCCCAGACUAGAGUGCAGUGGCACGAUCUUGGCUCACUGCAGCCUUGACCUCCCGGGUCAAGCAUUCUUCCCACCUCAGCCGCCUGAGUAGCUGGGACUACAGGUACUUAAACUUCACCCUUGUUUAGCCCCUAUUAAGGUUGCUUUGGAUGUAGGAAGAGGCCCCACAUUGGAACUAAGACAGGUUUGUCAAGGGCUAUUUAAUGAGUUACUAGAAAAUGGGAUUUCUGUGUGGCCUGGUUAUUUGGAAACUAUGCAGUCCUCAUUGGAACAACUUUAUUCGAAGUAUGAUGAAAUGAGUAUUCUCUUCACAGUUUUGGUUACUGAAACUACUUUGGAGAAUGGAUUAAUACAUCUGAGAAGCAGAGACACCACAAUGAAGGAAAUGAUGCAUAUAUCCAAAUUAAAAGACUUUUUGAUUAAGUAUAUAUCAUCAGCUAAGAAUGUAUAGAUUUUUAUAUUUGUAUAA